AUGCAUUACACGAUCUUUGAUUCAUUCAUCAAGCUAGCUAGGGUUGUUCCUUGACAAGAUGGUUCGAAAUCGAAAUUCCGUGAAUACGAAUGUUUGGGAGGACUUUGAUAAGCUUGUUGAUGAGGAUGGUAAUGCUAAGGCAAGAUGCAAGCACUGCGCGGUGGUUGUCGCUGCAGACAAGGUUAAAAACGGAAUAGCGGCAAUGCUAAAACAUAUUAAAAGAUGUCGAGAACGACCUGGUACAUGUUCAAGCCAACAUAAUGACAAUUAGCGAGUGCGGUUACGGCUGAAGAUGGAAAAGAAUCCAAAGACGAAGGCUUUAUUUUUUGUUUGACUAUGUUUUAUUGUGUACUUGAAUCAAUGCAUUUGAUGCGGU
rnacentral:lncRNA from 1 species